AGUACUGUGAAACUGCGAAUGGCUCAUUAAAUCAGUUAUCGUUUAUUUGAUUGUACCUUUACUACUUGGAUAACCGUAGUAAUUCUAGAGCUAAUACAUGCGAAAAGUCCCGACUGUUCUUGGAAGGGAUGUAUUUAUUAGAGUAAAAACCAAUGCGGGUUCUGCCCGGUGUCUUUGGUGAAUCAUAGUAACUGAUCGAAUCGCAGGGCCUAAGCGCUGGCGAUGUUUCAUUCAAAUAUCUGCCCUAUCAACUGUCGAUGGUAAGGUAGUGGCUUACCAUGGUUGCAACGGGUGACGGAGAAUUAGGGUUCGAUUCCGGAGAGGGAGCCUGAGAAACGGCUACCACAUCCAAGGAAGGCAGCAGGCGCGCAAAUUACCCAAUCCUGACUCAGGGAGGUAGUGACAAGAAAUAACAAUACAGGGCUUUUGC
rnacentral:rRNA from 3 species